rnacentral:tRNA from 1 species
GAGGUUGUGGCUCAGUGGUAGAGCGCUUGCCUAGCACAUGCGAGGCCCUGGGUUCAAUCCUCAGCACCUCG